rnacentral:rRNA from 1 species
GUGUCAGCAGCCGCGGUAAUACGUAGGUGGCAAGCGUUGUCCGGAUUUACUGGGCGUAAAGGGCUUGUAGGCGGUUCGUUAAGUCCGGUGUGAAAUCUCCCGGCUCAACUGGGAGGGGUCACUGGAUACUGGCGAACUAGAGGGGGGUAGAGGAGAGCAGAAUUCCUGGUGUAGCGGUGAAAUGCGUAGAUAUCAGGAGGAAUACCAGUGGCGAAGGCGGCUCUCUGGGCCUACCCUGACGCUGAGGAGCGAAAGCGUGGGGAGCAAACCGGAUUAGAUACCCGGGUAGUCCACGCCCUAAACGGUGGAUGCUAGGUGUGGGGGGUGUAGACCCCUUCCGUGCCGCAGCUAACGCUUUAAGCAUCCCGCCUGGGGAGUACGGCCGCAAGGCUAAA